GUGGUAUUCACGCGUAAGCAACACUGUGAUCCCGUGCAGCAUGACCGGAAGGGCUCAGGCCGGCGCGGUGAGCGUUCCGCUUCCGGCCGCCAUAUCGUUGGGGGAAUGCUUUCGUUUCGUGGUGCUUUGAAGUGCAGCAGCAGGCAUUGCAAUCUCAAGGGCCUCGGCAAUCAUUUUAAUCAUGGUUAAUUGCGCUGUGUUCGGAUGCAAUAACGAGUCGCGGUGGAAAGCUGACUCUGGUGAGAACACGAAGAAGCUUAGCUUUUUUCUGUGCCGAAUGUUGUUCGUUGGCAGUGCAGCCAGACCUUAGAGAUCUCAACGAAGCGUCGAGCGGAAUGGUUUCGUUGCCUCUACCGGGGUGACAUUAACACAGACGCUACCCACUACAAAGUCUGCAGCGAGCACUUCGUUUCUGGCAGGCCAUCCUACUUAAUGGAUCUGACGAAUCCGGACUGGGCGCCAAGCUUGCACCUAGGGUAUGACACAAAGUCAACAACUCGGUCUGAAGAAAGGCACCAGCGACGUUGCAAGAGGGCUGCGACCCUUGACUACAAUGCUGAAUGCGCAGCAGAGCGCUGUGAACAGUACUGUCACAAGUAAAAUGGCUUAUUCAUACAAGGUGAAUAUUUUCUUUAAUGACAUUCAGCAUCUUAACAUUUUUGUUUUUAUGCAGGCACACCACUUGCAAGCCGGCAUCCAGGAAGAUUCUUUCAAGAUGACUAUCUGCUGGUGUCCACACAAAAAAGUCGCAAUAGCUGCGCUGGCAAACAAAACGCUGCAUUUGUAUUUUUUGCGUGUAGUAAGCAUGUUGUCGUUUCUGAUUCAGUGUAUUAUCACUAGCAGCAACUUCUAAGCAGCCACUUUUCUGGGUCACA